CGAGACCAGCCUGGGCUACACAGAGCCAUACUGAUGAUCUACAUGAUUCAAAUGGGAAUGUCAGAUGGACUGGGUGGUACAAUAUCUUCAGAACUUUGUGUUCUGUCCUAUCUGACAAUGAAGAACCCUGCUUGUCUGAAGCUUUUGUGACCUUUCCAUUCACUUGGUGACUUGAGCAGAUGGCCAGGCUCAUGAUGACAGGACUUCAUAGAAUCUACAAGUGGACCUUAUUGAGAGAACACAGUAGGGAGGCCAGAGAAUGUCCCAAGCCUGCUGGUUCUGAGUAUGCAGAAAAGGACUGGGUCUGUGAAGAUGUGUAGACACAGAUACAAAAGGUCACUUAACAGAUGGCUGCUGAUAUGAGGGAAAGGAUGGGCCCACUAUAAGCCAAAAUACCUAAAUUUAUUGAAAAAAGACAGAAGCUGCAGAUUUCUUCCCUCCCUGUGAUUUAUUACAUAAUAUUCAUCUUUUUUAAAAUAUACAAUUGAGUGGUUAAUGUAUUUCACAAGGUUGUGUAACCAUCACCACUGUUUAAUUUCAUAACAUUUUCAGCACUCCUAACAGACACGCCAUACCCAUGAGUAAUCAUUCCCCAUUCCCAUCUAGCCCCACCCCAUGGUAAGCACCAGUCUACAGUUUCUCUGGAUUUUGUUGGGCCAGACAUUCUAUAGAAAUGUAAUCAUAUUAUGGGUGAUUUUUGUAUCUGACAUCUUUGACUUAGCAUAAUGUUUUCAAGAGUCACUCAUGGUAGCAUUUUUUUUUUAAUGGUCGAGUAAUGUUUCAUUGAAUGAACUUAUCAGACUUAUGUGCAGAUGGAUCCUAGGACUUAGUGUAUAUUAAGCACACAUUCUACCAUGAAGCUAGACCCCUAACCCUACCCAACUGUAUUCCUCUG